AUAAAUAGUUCAUAAUUUGAUUUUAUUUUCCAUUAAGUACAAGACAUUACUAUACAUUGUUUAUAAAAUAUUCAUCUGCAUGUUUAGGUUCAGGCAAUAAGACUGGACACAAGCAAAACAAAAAGCAUUAAGGCACUUUCCCAACAUGUUGAUCAAAGUUUAAACAAUAGCACAAAAUUCAUUAAUUACAAGUUUUUAUCACAAACAAGUUUCCAAAAUACUUCCAAUGACAUUAUAGGUCUUCAAACUUUAUUGUUUUGUAGAAACAUUUUCAGCAUAAGCUAAUCAUUAGUAUAUCAUUUGGCACUAUCAUUAAACCUUCAGAAAACAACACAGCUCUUUAUUAUUUGAUCACUGGAUUAUCUUGUAAAAAUAAGAUUGAUAUGAACAACAUACUUUUAUAACUAUAGCAACAUCAGUCAAUGAUUUAACAAUGUACAAGGCGGACAACAUUAGUUAUUAUUUACUAGUGUAGAACAAAACAUUGGUAAUAUAUAUCUCACUAUUAUGUACAUGUAUCAUGCAUAUUGCUGUCAGUUAAAAUAACAUUUGCAUUUCAGUUAAAAAUUAGAAAACUUUCUAAUAGCAUUUUUUAAAAUAUUGUCAAUUUGUUGGUUGCAAAGAAAAAAUGAAAAUCAUUUUAUGUUAAUUACAAAUUAAAUAUGUGUCUUAAUUAUGCUGUCCAUGAAAUAGUAAUUAGUUGUUUUUUUUUUUGGAGGGGGGGGGG